rnacentral:rRNA from 1 species
UACGGAGGGUGCGAGCGUUAAUCGGAAUUACUGGGCGUAAAGAGCACGUAGGUGGUUUGGUAAGUCGGAUGUGAAAGCCCCGGGCUUAACCUGGGAAUUGCAUUCGAAACUGCCUCACUAGAGUCUAGCAGAGGGAUGCGGAAUUCCGGGUGUAGCGGUGAAAUGCGUAGAGAUCCGGAGGAACAUCAGUGGCGAAGGCGGCAUCCUGGGCUAAGACUGACACUGAGGUGCGAAAGACGUGGGGAGCAAACGGAAGAUUAGAAGUACCCGUCGAGAUACCGU